ACGGUUAGACACAGCAGUGGCUUCGUGAGGGCAGUUGGACCUCGGGGUCUUAUUGAGAGGGGAAACGCCUGUCAAAGGGGCCCCUCUACCCAAUUAUUUUUAUAAAGGUGAUUUCCUUUGUUCUCAAGUCGCUGCGGCUGUCUGAGAGCACAGUGUUUUUGAAGACUGACUCCUUGGAAGUCUUUCCCAAAGGCAGAAUGAGACAAGUCAGAUUUUUAAUGAGAAUCCAGGAUGUAUCACUGAAGGAUUUACAAGUAACUUUCUGACCAAGGCAGGCUCUGACACAUUGACUUUCCAGUGCCUGUGCCAAUUGUCAGCAAGACCUGGAUGAUCAGAAUUAAUGUUCAUUGGAUAUGCAGAUGUGUGUACRAAGACUUCAGUUCACUUGGAAUAAAACUGAGCAAUCCUCAAACAACAUGACACUUGCAGUUCUUUGGACUCUACAUGGGACCAAAAGCUGCUAAAUGUCUUUCUCAGAAGUGUUAUUUUUUUUCUGCAGGAGAAAAUAAUAUUAAACCAUGGACUUUUCUUUUAGCA